rnacentral:rRNA from 1 species
GUUAGGAAUAUUGGACAAUGGGCGCAAGCCUGAUCCAGCCAUGCCGCGUGAGUGAUGAAGGCCUUCGGGUUGUAAAGCUCUUUAGCCGAUGAUUAUAAUGACUGUAGUCGGAAAAUAAGCCCCGGCUAACUUCGUGCCAGCAGCCGCGGUAAUACGAAGGGGGCGAGCGUUAUUCGGAAUCACUGGGCGUAAAGCGUGCGUAGGCGGCUUUGCAAGUUGGGAGUGAAAGCCCAGGGCACAACCCUGGAAGUGCUCUCAAAACUGCAAGGCUCGAAUUCGGGAGAGGAUAGCGGAAUUGUCAGUGUAGCAGUGAAAUGCGUAGAUAUUGACAGGAACACCAGUGGCGUAAGCGGCUAUCUGGACCGAUAUUGACGCUGAGGCACGAAAGCGUGGGGAUCAAACAGGAUUAGAAACCCGGGUAGUCC